rnacentral:lncRNA from 1 species
UGCCAAUGCUGCACGCGUGUGUGUUAUAAGAAGACACACAGACACACACACACACAGACGCAGACAUGGAGCUGAUCCUGAGAGCUGCUGUUCUGCUGCUGCUGCUGUCCAGAUGUGAGGCUGCAGAGGAAACAUGUGGACUGACAGGACAAGUCAAAGAGGGACACCUGGACAAGGUGCUGGGUGUGCGUUGGGUGAUGGUGAGGGCCUUUUCUGACUUUGAGAAUGGUUUGGCUGUGCUGAGGAAAUCUCAGAGCACAGUGUUGUUGAUGGAGAUGAUGGAGGACAACGUGACGGUGGCGUGCGUGGAGAGAAAUGUGGAGGCGGAGAAGUGCUUGGUGUUUUACACCAACAUGACUACACCUGAGGACAAGACGUCCAAUCACACGCUGGUGCUGAUGAACACUGGUGAGGGUCACAUGACC